UCCACAGACUCCUGCUCCACCAACUCCACCACCCCCACAAACACCGCCUCCACCUCCACCUCCAUCUACACCACCACUGCCCCCUCAGACGCCUAAACCACCAACACCUCCUGGUCAGUGUGGAGUGUCUUCAGUCACUAGAGUGAUCGCUGGAGUCGAUGCUCAGCCAGGUUCAUGGCCAUGGCAGAUUGGUCUUCAUCGUAACGGUGGGUUCAUCUGUGGUGGUACUUUAAUCAAGAGGGACUGGGU